GACGAACGCUGGCGGCGUGCCUAACACAUGCAAGUCGAACGAAGCACUGCGGAUAGAGACUUCGGUCAAUUGAAGCUUUGACUUAGUGGCGGACGGGUGAGUAACGCGUGAGGAACCUGCCUUUCAGUGGGGGACAACAGUUGGAAACGACUGCUAAUACCGCAUAAUGUGUUUUGGGGGCAUCCCCGGAACACCAAAGAUUUAUUGCUGAAAGAUGGCCUCGCGUCCGAUUAGCUAGUUAGUGAGGUAACGGCCCACCAAGGCAACGAUCGGUAGCCGGACUGAGAGGUUGAACGGCCACAUUGGGACUGAGACACGGCCCAGACUCCUACGGGAGGCAGCAGUGGGGAAUAUUGCACAAUGGGGGAAACCCUGAUGCAGCGACGCCGCGUGGAGGAAGAAGGUCUUCGGAUUGUAAACUCCUGUUGUUGAGGAAGAUAAUGACGGUACUCAACAAGGAAGUGACGGCUAACUACGUGCCAGCAGCCGCGGUAAAACGUAGGUCACAAGCGUUGUCCGGAAUUACUGGGUGUAAAGGGAGCGCAGGCGGGAAGACAAGUUGGAAGUGAAAUCCAUGGGCUCAACCCAUGAACUGCUUUCAAAACUGUUUUUCUUGAGUAGUGCAGAGGUAGGCGGAAUUCCCGGUGUAGCGGUGGAAUGCGUAGAUAUCGGGAGGAACACCAGUGGCGAAGGCGGCCUACUGGGCACCAACUGACGCUGAGGCUCGAAAGUGUGGGUGGCAAACAGGAUUAGAUACCCUGGUAGUCCACACCGUAAACGAU
rnacentral:rRNA from 1 species